CUAGCUACAGGCUUAACACAUGCAAGUCGAGGGGCAUCAGGAAGAAAGCUUGCUUUCUUUGCUGGCGACCGGCGCACGGGUGAGUAACACGUAUCCAACCUGCCCUUUACUCGGGGAUAGCCUUUCGAAAGAAAGAUUAAUACCCGAUGGCAUAAUGAUUCCGCAUGGUUUCAUUAUUAAAGGAUUCCGGUAAAGGAUGGGGAUGCGUUCCAUUAGGUUGUUGGUGAGGUAACGGCUCACCAAGCCUUCGAUGGAUAGGGGUUCUGAGAGGAAGGUCCCCCACAUUGGAACUGAGACACGGUCCAAACUCCUACGGGAGGCAGCAGUGAGGAAUAUUGGUCAAUGGGCGCUAGCCUGAACCAGCCAAGUAGCGUGAAGGAUGAAGGCUCUAUGGGUCGUAAACUUCUUUUAUAUAAGAAUAAAGUGCAGUAUGUAUACUGUUUUGUAUGUAUUAUAUGAAUAAGGAUCGGCUAACUCCGUGCCAGCAGCCGCGGUAAUACGGAGGAUCCGAGCGUUAUCCGGAUUUAUUGGGUUUAAAGGGAGCGUAGGUGGACUGGUAAGUCAGUUGUGAAAGUUUGCGGCUCAACCGUAAAAUUGCAGUUGAUACUGUCAGUCUUGAGUACAGUAGAGGUGGGCGGAAUUCGUGGUGUAGCGGUGAAAUGCUUAGAUAUCACGAAGAACUCCGAUUGCGAAGGCAGCUCACUGGACUGCAACUGACACUGAUGCUCGAAAGUGUGGGUAUCAAACAGGAUUAGAUACCCUGGUAGUCCACACAGUAAACGAUGAAUACUCGCUGUUUGCGAUAUACAGUAAGCGGCCAAGCGAAAGCAUUAAGUAUUCCACCUGGGGAGUACGCCGGCAACGGUGAAACUCAAAGGAAUUGACGGGGGCCCGCACAAGCGGAGGAACAUGUGGUUUAAUUCGAUGAUACGCGAGGAACCUUACCCGGGCUUAAAUUGCAGUGGAAUGAUGUGGAAACAUGUCAGUGAGCAAUCACCGCUGUGAAGGUGCUGCAUGGUUGUCGUCAGCUCGUGCCGUGAGGUGUCGGCUUAAGUGCCAUAACGAGCGCAACCCUUAUCUUUAGUUACUAACAGGUUAUGCUGAGGACUCUAGAGAGACUGCCGUCGUAAGAUGUGAGGAAGGUGGGGAUGACGUCAAAUCAGCACGGCCCUUACGUCCGGGGCUACACACGUGUUACAAUGGGGGGUACAGAAGGCAGCUAGCGGGUGACCGUAUGCUAAUCCCAAAAUCCUCUCUCAGUUCGGAUCGAAGUCUGCAACCCGACUUCGUGAAGCUGGAUUCGCUAGUAAUCGCGCAUCAGCCACGGCGCGGUGAAUACGUUCCCGGGCCUUGUACACACCGCCCGUCAAGCCAUGGGAGCCGGGGGUACCUGAAGUACGUAACCGCAAGGAUCGUCCUAGGGUAAAACUGGUGACUGGGGCUAAGU
rnacentral:rRNA from 1 species